rnacentral:rRNA from 1 species
GGUUAAGCGACUAAGCGUACACGGUGGAUGCCCUGGCAGUCAGAGGCGAUGAAGGGCGUGCUAAUCUGCGAUAAGCGCCGGUAAGGUGAUAUGAACCGUUAUAACCGGCGAUACCCGAAUGGGGAAACCCAGUGUGACUCGUCACACUAUCAUUAACUGAAUCCAUAGGUUAAUGAGGCGAACCGGGGGAACUGAAACAUCUAAGUACCCCGAGGAAAAGAAAUCAACCGAGAUUCCCCCAGUAGCGGCGAGCGAACGGGGAGGAGCCCAGAGCCUGAAUCAGCAUGUGUGUUAGUGGAAGCGUCUGGAAAGGCGCGCGAUACAGGGUGACAGCCCCGUACACAAAAGCGCAUGUGUUGUGAGCUCGAUGAGUAGGGCGGGACACGUGGUAUCCUGUCUGAAUAUGGGGGGACCAUCCUCCAAGGCUAAAUACUCCUGACUGACCGAUAGUGAACCAGUACCGUGAGGGAAAGGCGAAAAGAACCCCGGCGAGGGGAGUGAAAAAGAACCUGAAACCGUGUACGUACAAGCAGUGGGAGCCCCACCACUAAGCCAGUGGUGAACUCCACAUACGCAUCCUUUGCUGAGGAUACGGUUAACGGAGCGAAAGCGACGUUCAACCGCAAAAGAAGCAGAGGGGGCUUAGUGGUGGGGUGACUGCGUACCUUUUGUAUAAUGGGUCAGCGACUUAUAUUCUGUAGCAAGGUUAACCGUAUAGGGGAGCCGUAGGGAAACC